GGCCGGUUAGCUCAGUUGGUUAGGGCGUCGUGCUAAUAACGCGAAUGUCGUGGGUUCGAUCCCCAUACUGGCCA
rnacentral:tRNA from 1 species